UACAGUAAGUCCAAUAUUGGCUUGUUCUUCAUAAUAUCUUCUUUUUCUGUUCUGCAGGAGAAAGUAAGCCAUUUGGAAUGACAUCAGGACAGAAGGACUUUUAAUUUUACAACUGCCACAAUUUCCUGUUCUGGUUAGUCUGAAGACGUCUGCAGAAAUAAGACACAAAGGACAGAACACCCCAUGAGGAACUCAGACUACAUCUCCAUCCAAGACAUCUUGUCAUCCUGUGCCUUUGUUAAGGGAUUAUGGGGAACUCACUGAAGAACAGGAGACCAGCUUCUUGUUUUGUUGGAGAACGUGUAUUGGGGCUAUAAAUCUUGACCAGUUGGAGGCAGCACUGGCUUCAAUCUAUGCAUUUCAAACCCUGAACCUAAUACUUUACUGUAAGGUUCCUGAAGACCAUUUAGAAUCAUUUCUGGGAAAAUGAUUAUUAAUGAACCAGCACAAGUUUUAAAAAAUGAUAUUGAUGGCUAUUUGUAACAUAUUUAGGAAUUUCUAUUUAUUGCCUUUAUCUAGUUUUUCCAAAUCUGUAAAU